UUAUUGGAGAGUUUGAUCCUGGCUCAGGACGAACGCUGGCGGCGUGCCUAAUACAUGCAAGUCGAGCGGACCUGUAUGGAGCUUGC
rnacentral:rRNA from 1 species